AUGAACGCUGGCGGCGUGCCUAAUCCAUGCAAGUCGAGCGAACAGAUAAGGAGCUUGCUCCUUUGACGUUAGCGGCGGACGGGUGAGUAACACGUGGGUAACCUACCUAUAAGACUGGGAUAACUUCGGGAAACCGGAGCUAAUACCGGAUAACAUUUGGCACCGCAUGGUUCUAAAGUGAAAGAUGGUUUUGCUAUCACUUAUAGAUGGACCCGCGCCGUAUUAGCUAGUUGGUAAGGUAACGGCUUACCAAGGCGACGAUACGUAGCCGACCUGAGAGGGUGAUCGGCCACACUGGAACUGAGACACGGUCCAGACUCCUACGGGAGGCAGCAGUAGGGAAUCUUCCGCAAUGGGCGAAAGCCUGACGGAGCAACGCCGCGUGAGUGAUGAAGGGUUUCGGCUCGUAAAACUCUGUUAUUAGAGAAGAACAAAUGUGUAAGUAACUGUGCACGUCUUGACGGUACCUAAUCAGAAAGCCACGGCAAACUACGUG
rnacentral:rRNA from 1 species